UACGAAGGGGACUAGCGUUGUUCGGAUUUACUGGGCGUAAAGCGCGCGUAGGCGGAUCGCUAAGUCAGGGGUGAAAUGCCGAGGCUCAACCUCGGAACUGCCUUUGAUACUGGCGAUCUUAGAGUCCGGGAGAGGUGAGUGGAACUCCGAGUGUAGAGGUGAAAUUCGUAGAUAUUCGGAAGAACACCAGUGGCGAAGGCGGCUCACUGGCCCGGUACUGACGCUCAGGUGCGAAAGCGUGGGGAGCAAACAGG
rnacentral:rRNA from 1 species